UUCACUGAGACCGCAAGGGCCAGAAUUGAGAAGGCAGGUGGUGAGUGUUUGACAUUCGACCAGCUUGCCUUGAGGGCUCCUCUUGGCCAGAAUACGGUAUGAUUACAAGCCUCAUCUAUCUCUCACACUUGUUAUGUUUACACAAGGCUAUUGAAUGUCAUUCAUACAUGCCCAUAUUUUAUUCACCAGCUCAGACUUAGCAUUGUUUUCAUUUUGCUUUUGAAGGUUCUUCUUCGUGGACCGAAGAACUCUCGUGAGGCUGUGAAACACUUCGGUCCUGCUCCUGGUGUGCCUCACAGCCACACGAAACCGUACGUGAGGUCAAAGGGAAGGAAGUUUGAGAGAGCCAGAGGAAAGAGAAACAGCAGGGGAUACCGAGUUUAAUUUGUUCAACCCUUUUUGUGAGAGAAAAAAAAUUCACGUUUUGCUAGACUUGAAGAAAUAUUAUUAUGUGAGACUCUAUC
rnacentral:lncRNA from 1 species